GCUAGAGGUAAACGAGGCCGCCGCAUCCGCUGAAAUGGCUGUUCCUCUGCUGACCAAGAAGAUCAUUAAGAAGAGAGUGAAAAAGUUCAAGAGGACCCAAAGCGACCGGAAGAUAUGUGUCAAGCAAAGCUGGCGCAGGCCCAAGGGUAUUGAUUCUCGCGUGAGGAGGAAAUUCAAGGGGGUUACACUGAUGCCUAACAUUGGAUAUGGGUCUGAUAAGAAAACCCGUCACUAUCUGCCCAAUGGGUUCAAGAAGUUUGUGGUUCACAACAUAGCUGAACUGGAGUUGCUGAUGAUGCACAACAGGACUUACU
rnacentral:misc_RNA from 1 species